rnacentral:lncRNA from 12 species
GCCGGAAGCCGGAAGCAGGAAGCUGCCUUGAAUUGCCGUUGCCGCCCUGAGGGCGGGGGCCGUUGGCUGACGAGGAAACCUGCGGAGAGAGGAGCAAACCCGAGCGACGGAUUCAGACAGGGCCCCGGAUGCAGAAAUUUCUAAAUCCUGGUUUCUAAAAACCGUGCCAUUUUGAAAUUUAUCUGGCGGAUAGCACUGCUCUGCUGCAUUACAUGUGGUUGAUGUUAGUCACAUCCUUGAUGUAACAUAACACAAGCUGGCUAAGGUAAUCCAAUGUGACAUAUGACAGCAUUUUGAGCCAGUCUGGGAUAUUUGAAAAUAUGCCAUCUUUC